GGCGAGAUGGCCGAGCGGUCCAAGGCGGUUAGUACCACUAUCCAUAAAAUAUCUCAACGAACGUUCACUAAUAAUCUCUCAGCUGGAGUAAGGUUCCAGUCUCGAAAGGGGCGUGGGUUCAAAUCCCACUCUCGUCA
rnacentral:tRNA from 1 species